UACGAAGGGGGCUAGCGUUGUUCGGAAUCACUGGGCGUAAAGGGCGCGUAGGCGGCUGUUCAAGUCGGGGGUGAAAGCCUGUGGCUCAACCACAGAAUUGCCUUCGAUACUGGACGGCUCGAGACCGGAAGAGGUCAGUGGAACUGCGAGUGUAGAGGUGAAAUUCGUAGAUAUUCGCAAGAACACCAGUGGCGAAGGCGGCUGACUGGUCCGGUUCUGACGCUGAGGCGCGAAAGCGUGGGGAGCGAACAGG
rnacentral:rRNA from 1 species